GGUGUGCUGGCGCAAUGGUAGCGCGUAGUCCUCCUAUUGUUUCAACCGAGCAAUAAGACUAAGGCUCUGGGUUCGAGUCCCAGGUAUACCG